UACGAAGGGGGCUAGCGUUGUUCGGAAUCACUGGGCGUAAAGCGCACGCAGGCGGAUUGAUAAGUCGGGGGUGAAAUCCCGGGGCUUAACCUCGGAAUUGCCUUCGAUACUGUCUGUCUUGAGUUCGGGAGAGGUUGGCGGAAUUCCUAGUGUAGAGGUGAAAUUCGUAGAGAUUAGGAAGAACACCAGUGGCGAAGGCGGCCAACUGGCCCGAAACUGACGAUCAUGUGCGAAAGAGUGGGGAGCAAACAGG
rnacentral:rRNA from 1 species